rnacentral:lncRNA from 1 species
UGGAAAAUGGCUUUUUAUAAUGUAUUUGGUGAAGAAGUACUUAAUAAAUAAUAAUGAAAGAGCUGAUUUCAGAUUACAACAUAAACACAAAGUAAAUAAUUGACCUGAAAGUAAAUAACUACAAUUACCAUUUCAAAGGAAGUAGGUACCU